CCUACGUAUUUUCUUCUGUUAGGUUACUCUAUGGGUAACAAAUUGACAAGGUGGUGUCACCAAACUUGUCUGUCAAAACUCCAGUAACUAAAAAAAUCCCAUAAAAUGUAACUCAGAAAAAAUAAGCUUAAAAUCAACAAAAAUCAGCAAAAAUGGCUUUGACUGGCAAUAAAUUAAAAGAAUAAUGAAAAAUGGGACAGUUAGAUGAAGCAAGAUCGUCCUCUAGAAUGGGCAAAAGCUCAUCGACCGUCAAAAAGAGCUCUUCAACAAAAGGAAAAAAAGGUGCUGCAGGCGGAGGAUCAGAGUGCUUGAACUUCUCCAACCCUAAAGUUCAAGGAGUUCUGCUAGUUGGCUUACUUGCCGUAUUGGCUGCGGCUUUAUGGUUUGGCUUCUCGCACGGCUGUCUACGUCGACGACGUAGAAGACGCCCAUCUCCUUGUUGCCAGUAAGUGUUUCCACAUACUAUUACAAAAAGGCUGGAAGCCUGGAACAAUCAACGACAGACUUUCGUUGACCGACGACAGCCAUUAGCGACCAGUGGCCAACAGACUGUCGUCGCUUGACAGAGACUUGAAAUAUUGAAGAGGUCAUGUCUUAAGCUACAAGCCGAGACGAUGCUUCACAUGGCAUCCUGAAAAUAACCAGAACUUGAAUACAUUGUGACCAUAAAUAAUAUAAUAAUGGAAUAUCUA